UACGUAGGGCGCGAGCGUUGUCCGGAAUUAUUGGGCGUAAAGAGCUCGUAGGCGGCCUGUCGCGUCGGUUGUGAAAGCUCGGGGCUCAACCCCGGGUCUGCAGUCGAUACGGGCAGGCUAGAGUUCGGUAGGGGAGAUCGGAAUUCCUGGUGUAGCGGUGAAAUGCGCAGAUAUCAGGAGGAACACCGGUGGCGAAGGCGGAUCUCUGGGCCGAUACUGACGCUGAGGUGCGAAAGCGUGGGGAGCAAACAGG
rnacentral:rRNA from 1 species